rnacentral:rRNA from 1 species
AUUAGAUACCCUGGUAGUCCACGCAGUAAACGAUGAAUGCUUGCUGUCCGGGGGGAUUGACCCCUGGGGGGCGCAGCGAAAGCGAUAAGCAUUCCACCUGGGGAGUACGCCGGCAACGGUGAAACUCAAAGGAAUUGACGGGGGCCCGCACAAGCGGAGGAACAUGUGGUUUAAUUCGAUGAUACGCGAGGAACCUUACCCGGGCUCAAACGGGAGAUGACUCGGCCAGAGACGGCCGUUUCCGCAAGGACAUCUUCCGAGGUGCUGCAUGGUUGUCGUCAGCUCGUGCCGUGAGGUGUCGGCUUAAGUGCCAUAACGAGCGCAACCCCCGCGGGCAGUUGCUAACAGGUCAAGCUGAGGACUCUGCCCGGACUGCCGGCGCAAGCCGUGAGGAAGGCGGGGAUGACGUCAAAUCAGCACGGCCCUUACGUCCGGGGCGACACACGUGUUACAAUGGUCGGUACAGCGGGAAGCCAGGCGGCGACGCCGAGCGGAACCCGAAAGCCGGUCUCAGUUCGGAUCGGAGUCUGCAACCCGACUCCGUGAAGCUGGAUUCGCUAGUAAUCGCGCAUCAGCCAUGGCGCGGUGAAUACGUUCCCGGGCCUUGUACACACCGCCCGUCAAGCCAUGGGAGCCGAGGGCGCUUGAAGUGCGUCGCCGUGAGGCGCGCCCUAGAGCGAAAUCGGUGACUGGGGCUAAGUCGUAACAAGGUAAC